rnacentral:rRNA from 1 species
AACAUAACCUUUAGCCAAUCAAGUAUUAAAGGCAACGCCUGCCCAGUGAAAAAUUUAACGGCCGCGGUACCCUAACCGUGCAAAGGUAGCAUAAUCAUUUGUCUAUUAAUUGUAGACCAGUAUGAAAGGCAAAAUGAGAGCCCAACUGUCUCUUAUAAUAAAUCAAUUAAACUGAUCUCCUAGUACAAAAGCUAGAAUACUAACAUAAGACCAGAAGACCCUGUGAAGCUUUAACUAACCUAUUAAACCUAAUAAUAACUACUUUCGGUUGGGGCGACCUUGGAAUAAAAAAGAACUUCCAACAUAUGAAUUCUCAUAAAAUUAGGCAAACAAGCCAACACCAGACCCAGCACAGCUGACAAUUGAAACAAGUUACUCCAGGGAUAACAGCGCUAUCUUCUUCAAGAGCCCAUAUCAAAAAGAAGGUUUACGACCUCGAUGUUGGAUCAGGACAUCCAAGUAAUGCAGCCGUUACUAAAGGUUCGUUUGUUCAACGAUUAACAGUCCUACGUGAUC